rnacentral:rRNA from 1 species
CCUACGGGAGGCAGCAGUGGGGAAUAUUGGGCAAUGGAGGAAACUCUGACCCAGCAACGCCGCGUGAAUGAUGAAGGUCUUCGGAUUGUAAAGUUCUUUUCUAAGGGAAGAAGAAAGUGACGGUACCUUAGGAAUAAGCCUCGGCUAACUACGUGCCCGCAGCCGCGGUAAUACGUAGGAGGCAAGCGUUAUCCGGAAUGACUGGGCGUAAAGGGUGCGUAGGUGGUUCAGCAAGUUAGUAGCGUAAUUCCGGAGCUCAACUUUGGCACUACUACUAAAACUGUUGGACUUGAGUGCAGGAGGGGCAACUGGAAUGUCUAGUGUAGCGGUGGAAUGCGUAGAUAUUAGGAAGAACACCGGUGGCGAAGGCGAGUUGCUGGACUGUAACUGACACUGAGGCACGAAAGCGUGGGGAGCAAACAGGAUUAGAUACCCUGGUAGUC